UUUGUUUCGACGCCGGACCGCGUAAGAGACGAUGAUGUUGGGCACGGAAGGUGGAGAGGGAUUCGUGGUGAAGGUCCGGGGCUUGCCCUGGUCUUGCUCGGCCGAUGAAGUGCAGAGGUUUUUUUCUGACUGCAAAAUUCAAAAUGGGGCUCAAGGUAUUCGUUUCAUCUACACCAGAGAAGGCAGACCAAGUGGCGAGGCUUUUGUUGAACUUGAAUCAGAAGAUGAAGUCAAAUUGGCCCUGAAAAAAGACAGAGAAACUAUGGGACACAGAUAUGUUGAAGUAUUCAAGUCAAACAACGUUGAAAUGGAUUGGGUGUUGAAGCAUACUGGUCCAAAUAGUCCUGACACGGCCAAUGAUGGCUUUGUACGGCUUAGAGGACUUCCCUUUGGAUGUAGCAAGGAAGAAAUUGUUCAGUUCUUCUCAGGAAAGUGCUUUAAGUCCUUUUUGUAAGCUUGGGAAUGUAUCCACGGAAAGGAUUUUUCAUAGACGGAAUUUCCAGAAGUGAAUCAUAACUACUGUUAGAGCAUAAGCAUGCAUGAUUGUGCUGUGUAGAUCAGUUUUGUUGAAAGUUUAGAUUGUUGUGUUUGUCAAUUAUAAUUUAAUGUUUCAGUUUUUAUAUGAAAUGUUGUAAAUGUAUACCUUUUUAAAAACUUGAAGUUCCAAUAACUUAAAGCAUUGAAAUAUAAAAUGAGGUAAAAGGUGUUUUGAAUUUAGUAAAACUGUUAUUUAAUGCUUAAAACUUAAUUGAAUUGUAUAAUUCUCAACAUUAAGUUGCAUAGAUAUGUGUUCUUAAGUUGUUGAAUUCUUAAUGCAUCCUGUGUUCAGCAAGUUUUUUUUAAUAUAUACUGUACCAUGGGUGUGUUAAGAAUAGUUAUACUUUAUAAUAAUGGAACUUCAUAUUAUUGCAAUGCAUAUUUAAAGAGUACUUGUUGAAAGCAUACCAUUCACCUAAAGUUAAAAAUUCUGGUUUAUUUAAAGCUAUAAGAAGAAUCA
rnacentral:sRNA from 1 species